UACGUAGGGUGCGAGCGUUGUCCGGAAUUAUUGGGCGUAAAGAGCUCGUAGGCGGUCUGUCGCGUCGGUCGUGAAAACUUGGGGCUUAACCCUGAGCUUGCGGUCGAUACGGGCAUGACUGGAGUUCGGCAGGGGAGACUGGAAUUCCUGGUGUAGCGGUGAAAUGCGCAGAUAUCAGGAGGAACACCAAUGGCGAAGGCAGCUCGCUGGGACGUUACUGACGCUGAGACGCGAAAGCGUGGGGAGCAAACAGG
rnacentral:rRNA from 1 species